rnacentral:tRNA from 1 species
GCCUCGGUAGCUCAGCCUGGCAGAGCGAACGCUUCGUAAGCGUUAGGUCACGGGUUCAAUUCCCGUUCGAGGCU